UCGGUUCUGGUUCACGGCGCCCGGCACCGACCCAGCGACC
rnacentral:ncRNA from 1 species